UACGUAGGGGGCUAGCGUUGUCCGGAAUCAUUGGGCGUAAAGAGCGUGUAGGCGGCCAGGUAGGUCGGUUGUGAAAACUGGAGGCUCAACCUUCAGACGUCGACCGAAACCAUCUGGCUAGAGUCCGGGAGAGGAGAGUGGAAUUCCUGGUGUAGCGGUGAAAUGCGCAGAUAUCAGGAAGAACACCCGUGGCGAAAGCGGCUCUCUGGAACGGUACUGACGCUGAGACGCGAAAGCGUGGGGAGCGAACAGG
rnacentral:rRNA from 1 species